GUACUGAUGAAGAGUCCCAAACUAGGACGAAAUAGCUGUCCAGUAC
rfam:Trichobilharzia regenti genome assembly, scaffold: TRE_scaffold0022855